GUAAAUUUAAUGGGUCUGGCUUCCAGUCUCAUCCGCUUCCAGCGAUUUUUAACUGUACAAAAGCUUGGUAUUGCAAACUAUUUUUGGUUUAUUUUUCUCAUGAUUUCCCUACCGUGCCUAAGGAAGUGGAAGUCUUGUACAUACAGUCUAUGAAAAAAGCUUACUUUCACGUUGAAAAAGGUGAAUAAAUUUGGUGCUGUUGCCACAGUGGCGAAUUUCUACCGUUCCAUUCUCGCUGUAGCAUAAUAUCCGCUUGCGCAUGGAGCCCCUGAGUCACGUAAUGGCAUAACAAAACACUAAAGCAGGGGAGGAGCAGUAAGGUUUGCAUACGAGGCGUGAAAAGAGCGGUAUAUAAACACACAGAUAUGUCUAUUCUUUGUUGAAUGUAUUAAGCAAUAUGUUAAGUGUAGAGGAGAGGAAAUUAACCUAAAGUAUCGAUCUAAUCAGGCUAGUAUCGAUCCGAUACCAAUACCAACGUUGGUAUCGAUACUAUCGAUAUUAAGAUCGAUCCGCCCACCCCUAUUUUGAACCGUGACGUCAAGCCGUUCUCAACCGCCAACCGCGAACCAGACAGUUUGUAAAAUGUUGCGUUUCUGAUUAUUUCAUUUUUUCGAAGAAAACGCAGUCGAAACAGGUCUAUCGAGUUACACUGAAGACACGCAGAUUCACGACGAAACAUUAAUUAAGGAAGAAUGGUAUUUCUCCGAGGAACUAAUCGUCAGCUGGCCCGCCGCGAGAAACCAGACGUCUCAGUUCAUCCGUUUUUGCUGAGUCAGGCCUGGAUGAAAACCUGCUUAAAGAGAGAGCCAGAUUAACUGGGAAGAUAAAGCCCGGUGCUGAUGUACCCAGUAAGCUAAAUGAAGAAUUGUAAAACCGAAAAAGCUCAGACGACGCUGAAAAGACUGUCAGCUCAGCCUCAAAAUGCAAAGAAGAAUAGAAGGGCUACAGGAAGAAAACAGCGGCUCAGAGAGGAACUUGAAAACUGUAAGGGACAAAUUAGUGGACUGAGAUCUCGAGUCACAUCUUUCAGAGAUUCCUGGAUUCUCAACGAGCUGAGAAGGCUAUGGACAGAGGCACGACCUCAAACUGAAAGUGAGAAAAAGUGAGCUGUGCUUUCCCUAUUCUCAGCCUCAGAAGUCACGCCCACGGACCGUUGGCUAAACAUCUGAUACAUAUGGCACACAAAAGUGGAAAAACUUCAAGAGUUUCAAUGUCGUCAUCGGACUGAUUGAAUUAUACAGGAUUUCCGGGAGACGUGCGUGUUGCGUUCUUUAACGUUCCACCUGGAAACAAAGAUGCUGUGACGCCGAACUCCUCACGAAAGAAGAAAGCUGUCAUGUUUACAACUGUAAUGACAAGCGCUUAUCAGGAUCAACUAACCGCUGGAUUUUUAAAAGUAUGUGAAAUAUUUAAAGUUCAUGGCAUAGAAUCUGUAAAAUACGUCCGAGAGUUUUACGCACCGGUCUGUUAUUGUGGUGACAUUUCUACGCCCCGAAACGUGACGCUGAACGAAAUGAACUGUGAUUGGUUGUUUGACAUGUCGGUCAAACGGCCUCAUGGGCGGGCCUUGGCCAAUGAAAGCUGCCAUGGAUUCCAGACCUUAAGCCGUCAGUCUGAAGCUCUGGCUACGUGAGACAAUGCUUUCCCUAAUGUGGACACAGGAUCCCUAAAAGAGGGUGUUCACAACAAAUGAUCAAAUGAGCGAAAGCUUAAUUGUGAGAUGUUAAUGUUUGAAUACUGUGAAUUUGCAUUUUCAUGCUUUGUGUAAUUGUGCCUUAUAUUGUUUUAUUGUGUCAUAUACCCUACUUUGUAGUGUACACAGAUUAUGUUGUUACACAUGGUGAAUAAAUGUUGAAAUGUAA